rfam:Loxodonta africana unplaced genomic scaffold scaffold_209, whole genome shotgun sequence.
UCCCUGGUGGUCUAGUGGCUAGGAUUCGGCGCUUUCACAGCCGCGGCCCAGGUUCGAUUUCGGGUCAGAGAG